UGCACAGAUGAGAGAGCAGGAACACGAUAAGCGCUGUUCGGUUGCUUGACAGUUCCUACACAUGUUUUAAUGAUUUAUGAGAAUCCAGAAGUUUAAAUAUUUUCUCAGGGAAACCAGAGAUUUACUGUUUGCAUAUGGGCCAACUAUCCGCGAGCCUCCCAACAUCCGUCUUGUGGAUCCGUCUAAAGCUGCCAGAAGAAUCAAGAAUGCUCUCUUAUAAAACAUCUCAUAUACAACGUGUUCUCCCCCCCAGUAUUCCUCCAUCCUUACAUCCCCCUCUCAUCCCAGACAGUCCUCCAACAAAUCUCUCUCCCCUUUCCUUUGCCAGCAAUCACACUCUAUUGCCUGUAAUGAGGGACACAGUGAAGCAGAGCAAAGCAGGAAAACAGGAAUCUCCCACUGGAAAACAGUGGGAGUUGCAUGUCCCAUAAACCUCAAAUCCUGAGAAAACGUCAACAAAUUCCUGCAAACAUCAUUCACUUCCUCCCACCCCCCUCCGCUCACUUUGGACUGGACCGUUUUCAGCAGCAGCACCGCCUCUUUGUACUUGCUGGCAGCGUCCCGGAAUUGUCCCUGCUUGACCAGCGCGUUGCCCUGCAUGUGGAGAAUUGGCACCAUCUCCAGCUUCUCAUCCUUUUCCAUCAUCCACGACUCUCGGUGGUAGGACAUGGGGUCUCCGACCUGGAAGCGGCAGGGGCAGGAGCGGAGCACGACAGAGCCAAAAAGGUCAAAAGGAGAAAAACUCCACUGAUUGAAAGAAAGGAUUGUUGUUGUGGGGGAAACACACAGAGUACUCCGACUCGAGGAAUGCACUUGAAAGCAGUUUUGAGAAGUUGUUCAACUCACAACGGCAUCGCACCAGAACUCCGCCACCUCUUCAACCCUCAUGGACAUCAGCAGGGUCUCCCAGAUCUCCAUCUUGAACAUCUUUCCCACAAAGAUCUCAGCGGGCCUGCCUGCCAGUCGACUGUCAUCAAUGACCGUCCGCUCAAAGUCGUCCAACAGCGUCUGGAAGUGGAACACCAGCUUGGAGGGGAGGAGGGAAGAUUCACAGAAUGGGGAUUAAUGAUUAAUGAUUUUGUUUAAAAAAUACAUUUGGAAUAAAAAAUCUGACAUGA